UUUUCUUCUCUUGUAGAAAGUUGAAAGAAAAAAACAGUUGUAAAACAUGUAGAGAUGUUCAAAGAUCUAAGAGUAGGAUCAAAACACCAAUCAACCUUCUUCUCUUCUCCAACUCAUCAAAUCUCACAGAAUGAUGGAAACAAAGGGAAACAUCCUAGCCAUGAAGGGAGAGGCAUGGAGACCCUGAAAGCCUAAGAAAGAGAUGGGGAUUGAUGUACUUGUGAGCAAGUCUGCAGCAGCUGACCCACAGUCAAAAGGUGAGUGGCUAUAUGUAUCACAGGUAACUGCUCUUAAAAAAAAAAAAUAUAUAUAUAUAUAUAUAUAUAUAUAUAUAUAUAUGUAAAACAAAUAUAUAUAUGUAAAAACAAAUAUAUAUAUAUAUAUAUAUAUAUAUAUAUGUCAGAGAAGAGAAGGAGGUUGAUUGGUAUUGUAAACCUGCUCUUAUAUGUAUAUAUAUAUUUGAAACAGAAUCUCACUCUGUUGCCCAGGUUGGAG
rnacentral:lncRNA from 1 species